ensembl:lncRNA
GUUCCCAGGCCAGGAAGCGAAUGGGCAUCAGAAUAGUGACGCUGCUGAAUCCUAAGCGCUACGCCACCAGGAACUCCUUACCUCGAUUAAAAAAGAAAAAAGAAAUCCCAAGCCAGAGUCCCCCCGCCGAUGGUGGGAGAGGCCGGACAGGGCCCACGGCGCCCGGAACACCCCCACGAAGCUGCCCCGAGGACAGGCGGCCCCUGGAAACUCCACUUCCCGCUGCUCUAGACGCCUGGCCGCGGGGAAAACCUGUCAGGUUCAAGCCUUUUCUGCUUUCGGGGUGUUUUUCCGUGCUCGGCCCCCGCCCCAGACACACACGCUGAAGACACGCAGCACCACACNNNNNNNNNNNNNNNNNNNNNNNNNNNNNNNNNNNNNNNNNNNNNNNNNNNNNNNNNNNNNNNNNNNNNNNNNNNNNNGCUGGAGGUCAGGACGCCAACCGGCACACACCUGUCUCUGGCUCCCGCCACCUGACCGCUGGCCUGGAGAGCAGCCAGCUGUGACCUGGGCAGGCCUCGGGGGACAGGGAGGGAGUGGCAUGGGGGGCUGGCAGGGGGGAGCCAGGCCUACCUGAGGUCAUCAGUGGCAAGGGAGCCCCCGGUCCUGGACCUCUGACCUGAGGCCAACAUGGUCCCUGGGGGCCAGGGCCAGAGUGCCCGGGCGCCCACCCCCUGCCAUACCCACCCGGCAGCAGGCACACUUCCGCCUUCCCAGCCCAACGCCCGGACAGAGAAAUCUGGGUGGUUCCCUCAGCAGCUUCUCAGGACAACCCUUCUUUGUAAAAACUAACCAGCUGUCAUCCAGCAGGUGAGGCGCUUUCCUUUCCCCCUGGCCUGUCAGCUCACAGGAGGGGGUGCCUGGACCCCAACCCAGGUAGCCGUGUGGGCACAGGCUGGGUAGACCACCGGGACAGCAGGCCCUGGGACAGAAAGUCACCGGAGGUCCCAGGCGCACCUGCGUGGGUCAGAGCUCAGGGCAAGGCCACGGGACCCUACAGAGCAGCCCGAGAAGGCGAGUUCUGGGACCCAGGCCGGCCGGGCCUGCGGGGUCGCCGUGAACACCCACACCACUUAGACGGCAUCCUGAGCAACUUCUUCGGGGGGGACCCCAUUCCCCAAUCUUCCUGGCACAUAAAAGCCUUUGAAGUUCCUUACGUAGCAACCAGCUCUGAAAAACCCGCAUCCGCACAGGCCCGUGGGCCAGCGAGCACAUGUGCGGGUGUUCCUGUUGGGACAGAGUAAAGGGACAAAGGCCCCGAGCCCUCCUGGCAGGUGCCGAGGGCAAGACCCCUCCUCCUCCAGGGUCCCAUCCUGGGCUGCCUGCUGCCACCUCCCUGCGCUCUGACCUCAGCUCCUACCUCUCAGGUCGCGACUUGCAAAUCCAGGUGCCAGCCACCACCCCGGUCCCCGCCCUCCCCCACACAGGCCUUUCUAGAAGUGUCUUCACGCACAGGGCCCCCACUACACCUCUGCUGUGUUGCCUGCAACACUCCCUCCUUCUUGCUCCCUCCUUCUCUUCCUGCAGGCUGUACCUGCUGCCGGGGGCCCCCUCGCGGGAGCUCCUUUGUCUGCGGCUCACCUCCUCCCUCCAGCCCGGGCUUGACUUCCACCUCCUCCAGGCAGCCCUCCCGGAUGUGGCUCUAACCUCGAGGGGACGGUGACCUUCCCCGCCCACGGGGGUUACUUUCAAAUUCUUUACUUUCUGCCCUGCGCUUGCCCAGACCUUCCCAAGCCCUUGAAUAAACAUUGGCUGAAUCCACCGAAAUGAAUGCAAAAAGCCCCUUCGAGGACACAAGCACUCAUCAGCCACAAAUGCUGUGUGCAUCCCUCUUGCCCCCAAAACAAACUCAGCCCGGAACAGGAUGCAGGAACCUUCAGGAUGUGUGUGUAUCCUCUCUUUCUAGAAGGCUGAGCGCCUCUCCAGCGUGGAUGAGGCUGGGUUUUCCCCACCAGCCCGCACAGACGCCACGCCACCGCGCCUCCCCAAGUGCAAAGAGGCACGAGGGAAACAAAUGCGGGGGGGUUGUGCUGGGGAUGGUGGCUUUUUCUGUUGUUGCUGCUCUGAAUGUUUCCAGAUGACCUUAGAUGAUGUCGACAGAGAGGCAGGCCACCAGGGCGGGCCACCAGAACCUGCUCAGCUGCAACCCCCCACCCCCCACGCAACAGCAACCUCUGGCCCAGCGUUCCAAAUGGUCUCCUCUCCCAGGAGUGGCAGGGACACGGGACCACGCUCCCGGCCCCUCCCCCUGGCCCACAUCUAGGAUGCCGGCAGCUCCCUGUCCUCCCCGCCAGCGCCCAGCGCCCCGUGCAGACCUGCCUGGCCAGCAAUCCAAAGCCAGCGUCAGCGCCGCCCGGCUCAGGCCUUCUAUUCCUGGCUCAGCCGGCAAAUUGCUUGGUGACCUUGGGAAAGUCCCCACGCUGCCUGACCCCAUCCGCCAGCUCCAUUAAUAACCGGAGGUGGCGCGGCAGAAGCAGGCCCUGCUGGAAGCCGCGUAGUUUCGAGGUGACCCCAGGUCUCUCUCUCCAGCCUUCGAGCUGUGGGAGGAAACGCUUGCACAACACCUGGAGGCCCUGGAGGUGGCGCGGGGAGCCUGGGGCGCGCGGUCAGGUCAUGGCCUCGAAUACUCCCCAGGGGGGAGCCUGCCCCCUGCAGCCAGACCUCUGUCACAGGGGGGGAGGACGACAGCCACCGGGCCACCCUCUGUUACAGAGAAGGGCAUCUCAGAGCCCUGCCCAGGGGCCGGCCGGGGCGGCCAGCUCACCUGCCUCCCAGGUGAAACGCAAGAACAUGGGGUCACAGCUGGCCAGGGCAGCACCGGGACGGGAAGCCCGUUCUCCAGACAAACCCCACUGCUCUCGUAACCCACGAUCUCCAAACUGGACUCUCCGCGACCUGACGGGCAGGUGUCAUACCUCCACGUCCAUGACACUCACGCUAAUUUGGGGGUGGAUGCGGGUGGAACCCAGGAAUCGACAUUUUCAACGGGUAACCUCCCUCGCCUGGCCCCGAGGGGGUGCCCCGGGGCUCCCCCUGCGAGAACCGCCCCAUUAUCCCAGCUUGCUCUGUCAUCUGACUUGUGGCGUGAUCCUCUUUUAAAAAUUAAUUUUAAUUUAUCUCUUCCCCGCCUCUCUCCCCCAAAAGGAUUCGAAGCGGCAUUACCAACCUCUGAUAUGGAGACGUGUUUAUUAUUUUCACGGUUUCUGCAGGAAGCUCCCCGGAACUCGAAGGGGAAUUAUAUUCAGAGAGAACUGGGUCCCCAGCGUAAGUCAACAUUAUUCAUUUAACAACUUCUAUCGGCGCAUGGAGAUGUGAGCGGGGCCUUACCCAGAGACGUCUCCUGUGGUUACGGGAAGAUUUAAUUCACAACAUCCAAGAAAAAUAAUUAGGGGAGUGGGAGGAAGAAGGCAGUGGGGAGGGGCGCACAGACACUGCCUCCCACCGCCAGUUACCCGGAGCGUCCCCGCAGCUUUGAUUGUGGCCUGCAGGUCCCGCUCUGGGCACAGCUCAGGCAGACGAGGGGGGCAGCGCUUUGGGGGGAAGGGAUCUCCAAGCUCCUUCAGACCAGCCACGCCACCCCUCCCCAGCGCUCAGCUGAUGGGGAGCAGCCCCAGCCCAGAGCUGCCCGGGAAGCAUCCCCCACCCCCGCCCCGCGCCCAGCCCAAGCCAGGAUUCUCCCAGAAGGCUGAGCAAGUCCAGGUGAGGGCAUGAGGUGUUCCUGCUGGGCUAGCUGCUGCUUCCUUACACGUGCUGUACCUGAACUUGGCACUUCCGGAAAGAUCCAAGUUGGAUUUUAACCUGCCUCGCUCGUUUGAAGGAGGUAGGACACAGAAAGCCAGACUCCUGGAGGCAGGGGUGCUCCAAGCCGGAGCCUGCUGGUGGGGGGGACCAAGGCUCAGAGACCACUCACCCCCUCCCCACGGUGACCUGGCUCCAGGGGCGGCCCAGGCCGGCAGUAAUGAUUUACAGUGGCCAGGGCACCAGAGGCAGGGCAGGGGGCCCAGGUGGGAGUGGGCAGCCCAGACCUUGUGCUGGCAAAUCCAAGUGCAGCCCCCCAGGACCCAGAAGACAGGGACCUGCUACAAGGAACCUUCUGGGCCGUCGGGUCCGGCCUACCCUCUGAGAGUUGACAGUGAAGAAAGAGGAGAUGGGACACACGCCUAGGAGGAAGAGAGAGAAAGGAAGCACCUUUCCUUGGAAACUGGUUCGCCCUGAAACCAUCUAGAGUCAGGUCCAAGGAGCCACACACGCAGAGUCAUUUUUAUGUUUUCUGUUCUUGACAGGUACACGGUCUUCAAGCCUGGGGGCCAUUACUGAUCCAUCCUCACCCACGUCUCACGCCCCCAUCGUUCCAAAAGACAGAAGGCACUCCUUCUUCCGAAGGUCCCCAGAUCUGAUCUCAACAGCCCAGAGAGGUUAAGUCAUCGACC